AGAGUUUGAUCCUGGCUCAGAACGAACGCUGGCGGCAUGCCUAACACAUGCAAGUCGAACGGUGGCUUCGGCCACAGUGGCGCACGGGUGAGUAACACGUGGGAACCUGCCUUUCGGUUCGGGAUAACGUCUGGAAACGGACGCUAACACCGGAUACGCCCUUCGGGGGAAAGUUUACGCCGAGAGAGGGGCCCGCGUCCGAUUAGGUAGUUGGUGGGGUAACGGCCUACCAAGCCGACGAUCGGUAGCUGGUCUGAGAGGAUGAUCAGCCACACUGGGAUUGAGACACGGCCCAGACUCCUACGGGAGGCAGCAGUGGGGAAUAUUGGACAAUGGGGGUAACCCUGAUCCAGCAAUGCCGCGUGAGUGAUGAAGGCCUUAGGGUUGUAAAGCUCUUUCGCACGCGACGAUGAUGACGGUAGCGUGAGAAGAAGCCCCGGUUAACUUCGUGCCAGCAGUUGCGGUAAUACGAAGGGGGCUAGCGUUGUUCGGAAUUACUGGGCGUAAAGGGCGCGUAGGCGGCCCGUUUAGUCAGAAGUGAAAGCCCCGGGUUUAACCUGGGAAUUGCUUUUGAUAUUGGCGGGCUUGAGUUCCGGAGAGGAUGGUGGAAUUCCCAGUGUAGAGGUGAAAUUUGUAGAUAUUGGGAAGAACACCGGUGGCGAAGGUGGCCAUCUGGACGGACACUGACGCUGAGGCGCGAAAGCGUGGGGAGUAAACAGGAUUAGAUACCCUGGUAGUCCACGCCGUAAACGAUGAAUGCUAGACGUCGGGGUGCAUGCACUUCGGUGUCGCCGCUAACGCAUUAAGCAUUCCGCCUGGGGAGUACGGCCGCAAGGUUAAAACUCAAAGGAAUUGACGG
rnacentral:rRNA from 1 species